rnacentral:rRNA from 1 species
GAUGAACGCUGGCGGCGUGCCUAAUACAUGCAAGUCGAGCGAACGGACGAGAAGCUUGCUUCUCUGAUGUUAGCGGCGGACGGGUGAGUAACACGUGGAUAACCUACCUAUAAGACUGGGAUAACUUCGGGAAACCGGAGCUAAUACCGGAUAAUAUUUUGAACCGCAUGGUUCAAAAGUGAAAGACGGUCUUGCUGUCACUUAUAGAUGGAUCCGCGCUGCAUUAGCUAGUUGGUAAGGUAACGGCUUACCAAGGCAACGAUGCAUAGCCGACCUGAGAGGGUGAUCGGCCACACUGGAACUGAGACACGGUCCAGACUCCUACGGGAGGCAGCAGUAGGGAAUCUUCCGCAAAGGGCGAAAGCCUGACGGAGCAACGCCGCGUGAGUGAUGAAGGUCUUCGGAUCGUAAAACUCUGUUAUUAGGGAAGAACAUAUGUGUAAGUAACUGUGCAUAUUUUGACGGUACCUAAUCAGAAAGCCACGGCUAACUACGUG